rnacentral:tRNA from 1 species
UCUAAUAUGGCAGAAUAGUGCAAUGGAUUUAAGACCCAUACAUAAAGUUCAACUUUUUUUAGA